AGCAUACCGUAAGCUCCUGACAAAUAUGUAAAAGCAUUAUAUUUGUAUUCCUUCAUAGAGCAGAGCUGGAACCAAACAAUGAAUAAAGACCAUCAGUAAACUUCCAGUAGAUGAGGCACACGUGCAACGGCCAGAAACCCUCAUCACGGACAAAUUAGAUGGUAUUGCCAACUAACUGCUUAUACUUUUUUUUUUGAUGUUAUUGUAAGAUGUAGAGGACCUGGCGUGCUGUGUAAGAGACUGCCCCAUCUCAAAUGAGUUUAUAGUGUCCCCAGGUCAGAUAGCACCAGAGCUGGCACUAGACCCCAAGUCAUGGCCAGACGUUUUUGCCUGGUUGUAAAAAGGAUUCCAGAUUGACUGAAGCUUUUUUUUCUGUAUGCGUUAACCGAAAGUGCCAUUAGCAUACAAAUAUUUCUUCUUUCUGUUGCUCUUCUGAUGCAAGGAUUUCCCAUUUCAGGUUUUAAUCCAGCAGGUAGUAAAACAUCCGUGUUUUAACUAGCGGGGAGUGCUGACACGUGAAGGAUGGUCAUCAUCUGGGGCAUCAGGUGUGACCCUUUUGGGACGUGGGCUCCCCUGACCUGAUCUUCCCAAACAGCCGAGGGCCGGGGCCAGGGAGCACUACUUCUUCUUGUGCACAGCCAGCUGGAAGGCAGCACCGAGCAAGGUCCCCGAGCGCUCGGUGCUCACUCAACACUUCAGAGCCGAGGGGAAAACGGGCGUCGCGAGCUGGGCCUCUGAAAGAGUGAACUGGAAGCGCGGAGCUUGGCACUGCAGCGAAGGAUGUGGGAAGCAGAAGGGGUCUGCAGGGAUUCGGUGGUCGGGGACGGCUGGGUCGCAGGACCCAGCCCAGAAAGAACAGAGUGCUUACACUGUGGAUCCCUGCCGAAUAGUUUUCUGCCCCUUCCAGGGUUUAAACUGUAACACAAACCCUGGUGUAAGCCCGACUUCACACCUUCUGCUCCGAGGUUGUGCCUGAAAGUAGGAGCACGCUUGCUGAACCCUGUGGUGUCACCAGAGAAGAAUCUGAUCUGAUGUAACAUUGCAGGGGAAGCUGCCACAACCACCAGUUGGUCUAGUUAGACAACAGAGCUCCAGUAAAACAAACCAGCGUGUAUUGAUCAACUGGAAACAGAAAUAAGAAGUGCAUGGGCCAAGAAGCCAAAUAUAUCCAAGAUCUGUAACAGAAAGACAAAUUGUCUUUGCAGCCUUUGUCUUCUCAUUUUUAUAAGUCUGGCUCUGUCUUGCUGUGCCCUGCUCGGUGCUGAAAAGGGGUUUAUUCACAUGGUUUCUCUGAGGCCUGCUUUAGGGGAGCUCCCUGCUAAAAGAUAUUCUCCAACGGAUGCUGCUUUCCACUCUUUUAGAAAAGAUUCUGUUCCCCAAGAGCCAGAGGUGCUCUACCAGGACAGCGUGUGACAAAUUCUUUAUGAGAGAAUACAUAAUAAAUUGAGGAUUUUCUUUUAUUUUGAUUAUUUAGUAUUCAAUAUUUGCAUUAUGGAAGUGCCUGGAGGUUCCAGCUGAGAUCAGUGUCCUAUUGUUCUAAGCCAUGCAUAAAAACAUGGUCAGAGAUGAGGAGCUUACCAUCUAAAUAGAUGAACUGGAUAAAGAGUGGGAGACAGGAAGCAUCUAUUAUUCUCAUUUCAUAGCUGGAGAGCUUGGACGCAGACAAAUUAAGUGCCUUUCCCAGGACUGUGGAGGAAAGCCGAUGUAGAAGGGCAGAAAGCAUCAAAUGUCCAGUAUCCCAGUGUAAUACCCUGCUCAUAACACAGCACAUUUCCUGUUUAAAUAUAUCUUGCAACAGUGUAAUAAUAACAACAAAUAUAUUUUGAAUCUUUUCCUUAAGACGUACAAAAUGAGAGGAGUACCAGAAAGGUUACAUGGCUACAAGGCAUAACAGUCUGGAGGGAGUGUUGAUGCUCAAAAUGCCAUUACAAGGCAUUGACAUGAUAGCAGUGAAAAUAAUCUCUUUUUUCCAGCUACUUGGCCUUACUGCCUGAAGAAGUAUCUCUUAGAAGAUUCUGCUGUGCAUAAUGCAGAGAGAGAUCAAAAAUUGGUAGGCAAAAGUAAUUAAUUUGCCACAUUCUGUAGCCUAACCAAAAUGAGGGGUUUUUGUUGAUAAACACCCAGUAAAACUAUCCCUUUAUGGGCUGUGAACUUGCAGACCUCCCAUUCCUGUAUACGUUUUGCUGCAAAAGAACUCGGUAGCCCAUCUGCUUCACACUUUUAUGGAUAAUUAUUAGAACCACUGGCAUUAAAAUAAAGAAGUUCUUAUCUCGAUUUUUCAGUUUAGCAGCAUCUUGAAGUAACACGUGGUGAGGACCAGUGAGGGAAGUCUCUCAGUAGUAGUUUUUCUGUUAGAAAGGGUUUGCAUUUAUAUGAAGUGACUUUCCCCUAAGACACUGACAAAUACAUAGAGCAACUUUGCCUGUCCUUGAAAAGAAAAAGAUUUGCAGAAUUGGGUUCCUAUGAUUUGCCUCUUUGGCACCCUAAAAAAAAGUUCAAAGCUGCCGGGAAACAGAGCCAUAAAUACUUUGGAAACCAGGUAAACAUUUUAGCUGCCAGAGUUUGGGUUUAGGCACUUAGCUUUAGAAGAACUUUAAAAAAUUAAAUCUUGGACAAGUAUUUAAUUGUAUCCAGCACGGUCAAGCAAAGAUUUUGGACAGGACAGCUUGAAUAACAGGGAAGAAAUGUUGCUUCCCAUUGUCUUCCGUGGAGAAGGCAAACCCUCAGCGAUGUGCGU